ACCAAAGCUAGCCCGACCAAAUAGAUCAACAAUUCAAUUAAUAAUAUUUACAUAAAAUAAAACAUUUACUCAUAAUAAAAGUAUAGGAGAUAGAAAUUUUAACAGGCGCUAUAGAGAAAGUACCGCAAGGGAACGAGUGAAAGAACUAUUUAAAGUAAAAAACAGCAAAGAUUAUCCCUUUUACCUUUUGCAUAAUGAAUUAACUAGAAUAUUCUUAGCAAAGAGUACUACAGUUAAGUACCCCGAAACCAGACGAGCUACCCAUGAGCAGCAUAAAAGAGCAAACUCAUCUAUGUGGCAAAAUAGUGAGAAGACUUACGGGUAGAGGUGAAAAGCCUAUCGAGCCUGGUGAUAGCUGGUUGUCCGGAAAAAGAAUGUUAGUUCAACUUUAAUUUUUACAGAAAAACUUAGAAAUUCUUAUGUAAAAUUAAAUGUUAGUCCAAAGGGGUACAGCCCUUUGGACGUAGGAUUCAACCUGGACUGGAGAGUAAAAACACCCUAUUACCAUAGUUGGCCUAAAAGCAGCCACCAAUUAAGAAAGCGUUCAAGCUCAACAAACAACAAAUUUUUAAUUCCAAAAAUUUAAUCAACUCCCAGAAAAUAAACCGGACUAAUCUAUUUAUAUAUAGAAGAAAUACUGUUAGUAUGAGUAACAAGAAGUCAUUUCUCCAAGCACAAGCCUAUAUCAGAUCGGAUAUCCGCUGAUAGUUAACAACAUGACAAUUAUAACCUAUUUAUAGAACACCUGUCAAUAACACUGUUAACCCGACACAGGAGUGCUAAUUACCUAUGGAAAGAUUAAAAGAAGUAAAAGGAACUCGGCAAACAUAAACCCCGCCUGUUUACCAAAAACAUCACCUCUGGCAUUAAAAGUAUCAGAGGCACUGCCUGCCCAGUGACGUAAGUUAAACGGCCGCGGUAUCCUGACCGUGCAAAGGUAGCAUAAUCAUUUGUUCUCUAAUUAAGGACUUGUAUGAACGGCCACACGAGGGUUUUACUGUCUCUUACUUCCAAUCAGUGAAAUUGACCUUCCCGUGAAGAGGCGGGAAUACAAUAAUAAGACGAGAAGACCCUAUGGAGCUUUAAUUAAUUAACUCAAUAACUGCAGCUAUAAAUAAUCGACAGAGAUAAAAGCAUUAAGACUGAGUUAACAAUUUCGGUUGGGGUGACCUCGGAGCAUAAAAUAACCUCCGAGUGAUUUAAAGCCUAGACUUACUAGUCAAAGUCACUAAUCACAAUUGAUCCAAUGAAUUUUGAUCAACGGAACAAGUUACCCUAGGGAUAACAGCGCAAUCCUAUUUAAGAGUCCAUAUCGACAAUAGGGUUUACGACCUCGAUGUUGGAUCAGGACAUCCAAAUGGUGCAGCCGCUAUUAAUGGUUCGUUUGUUCAACGAUUAAAGUCCUACGUGAUCUGAGUUCAGACCGGAGUAAUCCAGGUCGGUUUCUAUCUAUUUUAUAUUUCUCCCAGUACGAAAGGACAAGAGAAAUAAGGCCCACUCUGCACGAGAGCCUUCAGAUUAAUAGAUGAUACCAUCUUAAUCUAAUAAUUUAUAACAAUUUUCGGCCCAAGAGAAGGGCCUC
rnacentral:rRNA from 1 species